GGCCACAGUCAAAUGACUGAAACAAGUAAAAGAGAAUAAUAAAAAAGUUAAGCAUACCACUAUCAGCAGAGUGGAAGAAACAGUUAAGUAUCAAACUAAAUGUCUUGUGUUAUGUUUUCCCCCAACAUUCUGUGUUGUUAUUGUGUAGCAGGUCAGCUACGACUAAGCAAACCCAUGGUAUGCAGGCAACCAACCAAACAACUAGGCUUCGCAGUGGCAAAGACCUGUUCUAGUUAUACCUUACCAUAGGGCUAUAUUGAGAGUAGAAUUGAAUACUUGUGACUUGCUGAGAUGAAUUAUGUUGGGGUAAAGUGUAACACUUUGAACUUGUUACCUUCUCUCCAAUAUCCAGUCAUUUGACGGUUUUGUUUGACAGCUGUUUCUGUAUUGGAUGAAGUAUGACAUCUUGGACUUGUCUUUUUGCCAAUGUCCAGUCAAUUUGCAGGGUGAAGUGUGGUAAUAAUAAUAAUAAUAAUGAAAUUAUUGUAUACAGUGCUCAGGUGCACCACAACUUGGCAAACGUGCAUAUAAAGCAUAUGCAGUAAUGUACAAAUGUCUGGAAAGUGAACAGUGUAUGAGUCAGAUACAUGCUUGUGUGUGUAUGGAGGGGAGAAAAUCAGGUGUAGUGUUGGCGAAUCUCAGGAAGCAUGGAAGUUUUGAAGGAUGCAGUGUUCCGACAACUAAAAAUUGAUGCCGGCAGUUUGUUCCAUGCUUCAGCAACUCUUAGCAUUAAAAAAUGUUUCCGAAAGUCAUGAGAGCUGUGCUGUUUUCUGACUUUGUAAGCAUGUCCACGGGUGUUAGACGGGUGGAGUUUGAAAAGGUGCUCAGAGUUAUUGUUAGUAAGAUAGUUAAUAAUUUUAUGGGUGUCUGCCAAGUCAGCUGCCAGACGUCGGAGUUUCAAUGUAUCCAUACCCAGGGAAGUAAGGCAUUCAGAGGAUGACAAAUGCCUGAUGGAAGGUAUUCUCUUGUUUAGACUUGUUGCAUUCUUUCCACAGUCAUUUCAGUAGAGAGUGAAGUGUGGCAGCUUGAAUUUGUUACAUUCUGUAUGCUGUUCAGCCAAUUUCUGAAUAGAGCAAAGUGUGACAGCUUGGACUUCUUGCAUUCUCUCCCUUUUCCAAUCAAUUUCCGUGGAAGACGAAGUGUAACAGCUUGGACUUGUUAUAUUGUCUCCCCUGUCAAGUCAAUUUCUGUAGAGGGCAAAACAUGACUGUUUGGACUCUUCAACUUAUAGGAUAAAUUUCUCUAUACUCUAUACCAUUAAUAUAUUAAAAUGAAAAUAGUAAGUGGGUGUAAAAUCUGAUAUUUUUUUUUUCUUUCCAAAAUGUAACAAUUGCUUUGAUAAAUUCUUUACAAAUUUCUGGUCUUGUGCCAAAGUUAAAGAAAUCAAUAUUUCUUUGUUGAAACUAACCAUUGUUAGUAAUUUUAUAUUGGUUCUAUGAAAGUUCCAAGUUUUUUUAUUUUUUGUUUUUUUUUUUUUUUUCAUAAUUCAUAGUACUGUUCCUUUCUAAGUGUUGUAUAUAACAAACGAAAGGAAAAUAUUUGAAGGUUUUGUAUAUUUUCCUCACUCUACACUAAUAUCUCAAACAAUGUGUUGGAAGAGUGGAAAGAAUGAUGGACAUUAUUAUCAUUUUUUUUUGUUCAAAUCAUAUAAGUUCUCCUUUUAUUGAAUAAUGCUAUUAUUUAUCCUGAUAGGAAAAGAAAAUUUCUUUCCAAUAAGCAAAAAAAUAUCAGCACUAAAAUAUCCUUUUAUUGGUUUUUUUGAGGGAACAUUUUUUAUUUGUUCAGUUUAAAAAGAUUUUUUUCUUUUGUUAUUUUUUCAACAAUUCUAUGUUCUUUGCCCCCACCCCAUAAACAAAUUCUUCCUAUUGCUGCAAGUGACAAUUCUAUUAAAAAUUGUCAAUAUUGGCAAAUUAUAUUUGACAAAUGCUAUUGAACAGGAAUAUAUUUUUCAGAGACAUAGGUGCACAAACCUGUUAUUUAUUUAUGUAUUUAUUUUAUGUUGAUAGUUGCUUCAAGCCAGUUCACUUCACUUAGACCACUAAUAUUGUCUAGAAAGGCAUGAACACCAUAUAAUCUCAUUCACUCUCCUUUUAAGUUUAUGGUCUAAGUAAAAAAAUACUUAGUAUAUAGUUUAAAAAGUUUAAAAAUUUGUAAAUGCUUUUAAUUUUUUUAAAUAAACUCAAAACAAUGCAAGUUAUAUAAAAUAAUACAAGUUGAUGGUGUGUACUAAUACUUGGUAUUUCAAUAAUUUGAGGUUAGGGCCUCCUCUUCUGGAAAUCUUUAGAGAAAUGAUGUUGUAAGAUGACUUUUCUGUUUUGAAGUUGUAAAAUCAGCUUACAACACCAUUCCUCUAAAGAUUUUUUGAAAGGGCCUAAACCCCAAAAUAUUGAAAUACAAGCUAAAAGUGCUAACCUUCAAUUUCUUAUAAUUGGCAUUAUUUUUGUCUUUAUUAAAAUAAAAAUUAAAAGCAUUAGACAAUGUUUCAUGCAAGUUAUACUUCUCUGAAAAUUUGAUUAAUUUUUUUUUCUUUCUAAUAAGCUAGAGAAGAGAUACUGGCUAUGAGUUUCAAAGAUGUCUCCUAGACUGGUGAAAUUUAAGUGUCUGAUAACCUGCCUAGACAUCUGUAGGAAAAUUCAGGUAGAAGAUACCAAGGAUCUAGGGAUCUGCUCUGAACCCUUGUUGUCAAACCAACUCAGCUGAAGCCACUCAAGGACCAGGUGUUAAUGUUAAACGAGGAAGUAUAUUAAGGCUACAGUACAAAUAAAAAAUGCAAAAAUAAAUAAAAACAAGAAGCACUGUCAUACGGUGUCAUUGUAGCUGGUGUUAAUAUCAUAGUCAAAUUAGUGAGGUUUGGCAUUCCUCUAAAUUUGCAUACUUCAACACUAAUUAUAAACUAUGAGUCUGCUUUGUAAAAUCUUUUGACUAAUCAUAGUCAUUGUUGUUUUGUACCCCAAGGUCAACCUUGAUCAAAGGCAUCCCAGCCAUGACCAUCCAGUCUUUUUAGAAGUAUGUAGUAUUACAUUGUCUAAAGAUCCUGGCAGAGCUGUCCACACAUGAACUACUAAUACUACAACUACUAAAAAUGAAUGAAAAUAGCAGCCAAAUCUCACUCAGACUACAUGCUACCAUCUUAGAAGAAAAGUUAGAACAAACAUAUUGCGUAAUGUCCAAUUAAUGGCCCAUCCGAUUUCAAGUUUUAGCACAAAGCCUGCAAGGUUGAUUACAUCAACCUCAAUGUGCAACUGGUACUCUUUUUAUCGACCCUGAAAAGAUGAAAGGUAAAGGUGACCUUGGUGAAAUUUGAACACAGAAUGUAAAGGCAGACAAAUUGCUGCUAAGCAUUUCACCUGGUGUGCUAACAAUUCUACCAGCUCGCCACCUCAAUUAGUGGCCCAAUUAAUCCUUUUGAUGACGAGGUGCACCACUAUUGUAACUCCUGGUAAAUUAACUUUGUUGCUCUGUAAUAUGUUGAUUCUCAGGUCCCCAGUAGGUGCAAUUGUGACAAUUAAUUGAAUUAGUUAAUGUAUAUGUAACCUCAUCACUCCAAAUGAUCUUUGUUGGAAAGUGUACAUCUACACAUCUUAUCAAGCACCAUUUGCAAAACUCCACUCUUCGGUCCAGAUUAUUUUCAUUGAGAGUAUGAACUGUUCUUGGAAUGUAACUUUUCCAAUUACAGCACUUCAAAUUGUGAUGAAUGAUUGAUUUUUGAAAUUCCUGAAUUUCAACAACAUCAACAGGAUAUUUUUGUAUGUAUGUAUAUGUGCAGAUUUUUAUGUUUUGUUUGUUUUAUUUGUAUGUAUGAAUGUAUAAUAAUAAUAAUAAUAAUUGUGUACAGUGCUCAGGUGCACUACAACAUGUAUGUAUGUAUGUAUGUCAUUUGUGAGGUCUCUCAUUAGUGCUUUUGGUAACAUGGAAACCAGUACAACCUAUUGCAUAGUCAGAUCAUCAUCGACCAAACCCGCACCUCCACUAGACUUGCUUGGUGAGGAGGGUUGCUAGAAACCCUGUAGGACUAAAAACAAAACUUGUCAAAAGGAUGGAUGAACCUAGUGUAAGUUCAAUUACUAUCUAUCAAUAGCACAGGUACACAGAAAUUCUAGGUAAGUGUCUGGCAUGCUGGAAGACUACUGGGAGUGAAGUACCCCUCAGCUUUUGCUAAAGCAUGUCUCUAGGUGAAGGUCACUCUGAUAUAAAACCAGAUGUGCAGGGAAUGGCAUUGAACAUUUUGGGGACCUUACGCUCGUGCUUGAGAUUACUGUCAUCCUACAUUCCUGAGCCUGUGACUCAUAUUGGUACGGGGUACCUUGCCCUGGCAUGUCUCCAUAUUAUGUCAAUAAGGUCUGUGCAAGCCUUAUUUGACCAAACAUUUUAGGUUGCACAAUUGCCGGCAAGACGACUUUCUGAUGCCCAGUUCAGUAGGAGGGCACCGCAUUGAGCAUGGAAGCCAUGGGCAUGAAUCUGGAGGGAAGCUCUCAUGAACUCACUGCUGACAUUUUGCAUGGGCAAUGGUCAGUGUUGGUCUUCCUUGGUCACAAGUGGACAGCCAUAUUGUCUGUAUAUGAUGGGCUUCUUUCAGUUUCUGUUCGCCAAUUUCACUCACUAGGCUCUGCUCAGGCAGGGGCUAUAGCAGAAAUCACUUACCCUAGGUGCUGUGUAGUAGGACUGAACCUGAGAAUUGUAAAAAUUUAAUUUUAUUAUUAUUAUCAUUAUUAUUAUGAAGGUGGUGAGCUACCAGAAUCAUUAGUGCACCAGGUAAAAUGCUUAGCUGCAUUUCAUUCAUCUUUCUGGAGUGAGUUCAAAUUCUACUAAGGUCUAUUUUGCUUUUCAUUCUUUUGAGGUCGAUAGAAUAAAUACCAGUUAAGUAAUGUUAUCAACUUUCCCCCUCCCCCAAAUUUCAGGCCUUGUGCCUAUAGCAGAAAGGAUUAUUAUUAUUAUUAUUAUUAUUAUCAUUAUUAUUCUGAGACCCCUUUCGGUCAUGACACAGACCAUGGGAUUGCACCUAGAAAGUUACUCUCCCAGGCACAAGUCCGUGCAAGGUUGUUUGUGGAAGGCCAGCAGUCGCCCAUGCAUACCAGCCUCCCCUCUCCACACCACCAAUGUUAUCCAAGGGAAAGGCAAAUGCUGAUACAGCUUGGCACCUGUGAUGUCGCAACUCAUUUUUACAGCCGAGUUAACUGGAGCAAUGUGAAAUAAAGUGUCUUGCUCAAAAAGACAACACACAGCCCAGUCUGGGAUUCGAACUCACAACCUCACGAUCAUAAGCUCAAUGCUAUAACCACUGAGCCAUUAUUAUUAUUAUUAUUAUUAUUAUUAUCAUCAUCAUGAUUGUAGUGAGCUAGCAAAAUAAUUAGUUGACCAAGCAAAAUGCUUAGCUGUAUUUCAUCUGUCUUUAUGGCCUGAGUUCAAAUUCUGCCAAGGUUAACUUUAGUGUCAAUCCUUUUGGGAUUGAUAAAAAUAAGUACCAGUUGCAUAUUGGGGGUUGAUGUAAUCGACUUACCCCCACCCCCGAAGAUGCUGGCCUUGUACCAAGAUUUGAAACUAUUAUUAUGAUUUAGGCAGCAACCUGGAAAAAUUGUUAGCACACCAGACAAAAUGCUUUGUGGUAUUUUUUGCAGCUUUUUAUGUUCUGAGUUCAGAUUUCACCAAGAUCGGCUUUGCUUUUCAACCUUUUGCGGGUGAUAAAACAGGUACCAGUUGAGUACUGAGGUUGAUGCAAUUGACUAGUCCCCUUCCUACAAAAUUUCAGGCCUUGUGCCAAUAGUAGAAAGAGUUAAUAUUAUUUUUUCCGUUAAAUAUUUUCUAAAUUAAUCAAAGACCCCUGUUAUUGUAUCAAUAUUAUUUGCCAAUUGUGGAAGUUGAGCUGAGAGAAAGUUUUGCUUCUCAGCAGCUAAAACUACACAUACAUACUUACAUACAUAUAAUCAUACAUACAUAAACACACACAUAUUGCAUGUGGGCACACUCACACCAAGUGAAUAAAGUCUCUCUUGGUUUUAGUCUGAAGCUGUAGCUAUUUUUUAAAAUUUAUUUUUGAGUCUGCAGAAAGACUAUGAAGAUUACACAAUGAUAUUCAUCAACGGGGAUGAUAACUCAUUGAUGGAUUAUACUUUAAUUGUAUCAAGUCAAUUGACUUUAUUUGUCACAUUCCUACAUGGAAUAACGAUGUUGUUCUGUUGUAUGGAGAUUUGUAUAAACUUUGAAUUUAUCAGUGGGAGUUUUUUUCUUUAUUUUUUUUUUCCUUUUAUUUGAAAACCAUAUAUAAAUCUUCUUUCCAAAUGCGAAGGCAAUUAAAAUUAUGAUUAGUUUAAAAGAAAGAAAGAAAAAAAAAUGGUACUUUGAAGAAUAAAAUGUUAUGUAAAUUACCUCCCUUAGUUAGAUGCCAAUGGAAUUUAUCUCCCUUGGAAAUAGGAACUACAUGUUGGCUAGAAUUUCCUCCCUUGGAUGUAUUAAAAUAUUGUUGACGUAGAUUUCUUUUUUCAUUUUUGAAUAGUCAAUUUUUGACUGUUUUGAUGCCGCUUUGUUUAAAUCUAUUCUAUUAGCUGCAUUUUAAGCAGCUGUUUAUUGAAUAAAGGCUCACAGUAAUUCAGUUUUUGUUUUCUGUUCUAUUUAUUUUAGAUUAAUUAGAAUAGGUGCUUUCAAAUUUCUUGUAGCCCUAGUAAAUAUACAUUAUCAUACAUUUUUCUUAUCAUCCAAUCUUCAUAAUCAUUAUCAUCAUCAUUAAUCAUAGGGGAUUUUUAAAAAGUGGCAGUAAUAAUAGUAAGUGCUCAGUUAUUUAAAAAAUUUUUUUCAAUGUUGGUCCCCGUUGGAAUGAUUGUAGUUUAUUUUUGACAUGUAGCAUUUGGACUCAGAAAUCACAAAUGCAACCAUCCUUCAUUAGUAGUCAGCUUAAAUAAUAACCUAUUGACAGAUAAAAUAGAUUAAGAACGAUAAAGACAAAUAUCGAUUUGAUUUAUUUACUUAAGACUCAAAUUAGUAAUUAAUCAACGACUAAUUUCAAUCGUUUUCCAUAUCAAAAUUAUUUUUAAUUACUUUUUGUUUUUAUGCUUCUAGCAUUCUAUAUUGUUAACAUUAAAUAUUAACUCUAUAUUUGAGUAGUUUUGACAUAGUUACCAUGGUGAUGAUGAUGGUGUUUGUUGAUUAUUCUAAUUAGUUAGACAUGAAAUGCAAAAAGCCUCAUGACAAAAUUUUAAAUCCAGCAUCUCUUAUGGAUAUUCCGGAAACUAUAUCACAUAAGGUAUUUCCAUGAACAAUUUAUUUAACUCAUUUACAUAUCCAACCACUACCAUCAUUACAUCCUCUACCACUACCAGCUGGUAUCAUCAAAUUCUGGAAACUGAAAAAUCCCAAUCUUCUUUUUAACAUCUACUUCUGUUUCAAUUUUCAUCCAACCAAAAAAUAAAUAGAUAAAUCAAAAGAGAAAGUAAAAAGUAUUGUGUGUUAUAGUAAUAAUGAUGCAGAAAUUAAUAAAAGAGACUGAAAUAAAAGAAAUUUUAUACACCUUCUCUUUAACUUACGACUGAGUUCCCUUCUGACUGACAGGUCAUAAGUCAACUUGGUUGUAUAUCAGAUUUAUAUUUUUCAAUAUUAUUUUCAUUCAAGCAUAACUGAUGCUUGAAAGUGACUGAGUGAAAGACAGUGGCAGGCAAUGGAUGCCUGGGUCUGAUGGUGGGGGCUGUGUUGCCAGAUGCUACCAUAGUUAUCAUAUGUGCUGCUGCCCAAAGUCCGAAAAUCAAUUUAUUGAAUUUUUUAUUUCUUUAUUUUUUUGUGGUCAUAAGUCAAGAAGGUGUAUACAGUAUUCUAUAUUCCAUUCUGUAGAUCUUGGUUCUUUGCUGAAUCAUCAGAUCUAUGGAAUUUUAAAAUUUAAUUUCUUGUCUAGUCUAGAUGAAAGUGGUGAUGGCAUAAGAGUGUAUACUGAUGACCUCCACUACUUUUGUAAUGUCUAAUAUUGCAUAAUUUCUUUUUUUUUUGUGGUUAACUUACAUUACUCAUUGAUGCCCCCCAAUUAUUUGUUUUCAAUAUAAGAUACACACUACUUUCAUUUGCCCCCUUAUUUCACUGACUUGUAGGUGGCCUGUUCUCUCUGCCCCAUUUACAUUUUGAGGGCUUUAUUUCUCCUUUUCAUCUCUUUACUAUUUUAAACUUCUUUGCUGCUAUACAUACCUAGCAAUAUGGAAGAUACACAUUAGUUUUUCCAAAACAAAAACUUAACUCCGCUCACACAUUUAUUAUCCAAUGUCAAGUUUUCACUGUGCUAACUGCCAUCAGGUCACUGGGAGAGUUUCACUACAUUCAAUCCUUCUAGGAUUGGUAAAAUAAAGUACCAGUGAAAUAGUCUUAGUGACAAAGUUGCAGUAAUAAAAAUUUUGACACCAAAUAGUAAAAACUUAAGUGAAGUUAACAGUUGUUUUAUGUUCUUAAAUGGCUAAUAUAUAUCUUCUAUUGUAAUUGUUUUAGUUCCAACACAUGGUCUCAGACCAAAUCACUUGCCGGACAAUUACAUCUCUGAAAUAGAUAAUAUAUACAUACUCCAUUUCUUCCUUUUUUUUUUAAAUACACAAUAAGCUUCUUGAAGAUGUAAUAGGAUAUAUAAAUAACUAUAACUAAAUAUAUAUAUAUAUAAUUAAUGGGAUUCUUAAUAAAAUGAUAGUUUCCUAAUUUCAGGUUAUUCAAAAUUUC
rnacentral:lncRNA from 1 species